AUUGAACGCUGGCGGAAUGCUUUACACAUGCAAGUCGAACGGUAGAGGGGGCAACCUCUCGAGAGUGGCGAACGGGUGAGUAAUAUAUCGGAACGUGCCCAGUCGUGGGGGAUAACGUAGCGAAAGUUACGCUAAUACCGCAUACGAUCUACGGAUGAAAGCGGGGGACUCGCAAGAGCCUCGUGCGAUUGGAGCGGCCGAUAUCAGAUUAGGUAGUUGGUGGGGUAAAGGCUCACCAAGCCAACGAUCUGUAGCUGGUCUGAGAGGACGACCAGCCACACUGGGACUGAGACACGGCCCAGACUCCUACGGGAGGCAGCAGUGGGGGAAUAUUGGACAAUGGGCGAAAGCCUGAUCCAGCAAUGCCGCGUGAGUGAUGAAGGCCUUAGGGUUGUUAAAAGGCUCGUUUUUACCCAGGGGAUGAUAAUGACAGUACCUGGAGAUAAGCUCCGGCUAACUCCGUGCCAGCAGCCGCG
rnacentral:rRNA from 1 species